AACUGAAGAGUUUGAUCAUGGCUCAGAUUGAACGCUGGCGGCAGGCUUAACACAUGCAAGUCGAGCGGGGGAAGGUAGCUUGCUACUGGACCUAGCGGCGGACGGGUGAGUAAUGCUUAGGAAUCUGCCUAUUAGUGGGGGACAACAUCUCGAAAGGGAUGCUAAUACCGCAUACGUCCUACGGGAGAAAGCAGGGGAUCUUCGGACCUUGCGCUAAUAGAUGAGCCUAAGUCGGAUUAGCUAGUUGGUGGGGUAAAGGCCUACCAAGGCGACGAUCUGUAGCGGGUCUGAGAGGA
rnacentral:rRNA from 1 species